UGGGGAAUUUUGGACAAUGGGCGAAAGCCUGAUCCAGCAAUAUCGCGUGAGUGAAGAAAGGCAGAUUAGCUUGUAAAACUCUGUCGUCGAGUGAGUGAUUAUGACAAGACUCGAAAAGGAAGCCCCGGCCAACUCUGUGCCAGCAGCCGCGGUAAGACAGGGGGGGCUAGUGUUAUUCAGAAUGACUAGGCGUAAAGGGCAUGUAGGCGGUUUCUCAGGCUGAGAGUUAAACCCACCAGCUUAACUAGUGAACUGCUCUCACUACCAAGAAACUAGAGUAAGAUAGAGGAAAGUGGAAUUUCGUGUGUAGAGAUAAAAUUCACAGAUAUACGAAGGAACGCCAAAAGCGAAGGCAGCUUUCUGGGUCUUUACUGACGCUGAGGUGCGAAAGCACGGGGAGCAAAUA
rnacentral:rRNA from 1 species